AUGUCUGAGAAGGUAAUGGAGUGGGACAACACUUUAGACCUCAUUAUAUUGGAAUUGGAUUUAAUCGGUCAAGUCAACUAACCAGUACAAAUUCAUAUUUCGUUUCUAAUAGGAAGUGACUGGGAAAUGCAGAUCUGUGAAAGGAUCCAGUGAAGCCUGCAGUUGACUAGAUGAUGUUCAUGGCGCAGCUGAGGCUCACGGGAAAAAAGAAAAGUGUGACAGCCAUGUCCUGGAGUAUACUUCUGAGCUGCCUGGUGCCCCUGGCGAUUCCUGUCAUCAUCAAGUAGAUGCGGAUGGGGGUGGGGGACUCUGAGAGGGAGGGGACGGCAGCCGGCAGAGAAGGCUAAACGCUCAGGAAAGUUGGUGGUCCGAGUGGGAAAGCUGCAAAAUCGCGACGCAGUGAAAACCAAACAGCGACGGAGUGAGGAGCCGAGAGCUUGUUAACCGUGACUCUGACCCGACCUGGCGGCUCGUCUCUGCCCCUUCUGAAGACCAAGCGCUCAUUCCUUCUUCAACUCACAUCGCCUGAAACACCAAAGGGCCCUGCACAGCCCAACUCGUUCACUCCUA
rnacentral:lncRNA from 1 species